UGAGUAACCUGCCCUUAACUCUGGGAUAAGCCUGGGAAACUGGGUCUAAUACCGGAUAUGACUCCUCAUCGCAUGGUGGGGGGUGGAAAGCUUUUUGUGGUUUUGGAUGGACUCGCGGCCUAUCAGCUUGUUGGUGAGGUAAUGGCUCACCAAGGCAACGAUCCGUAGCUGGUCUGAGAGGAUGAUCAGCCACACUGGGACUGAGACACGGCCCAGACUCCGUAGGAGGCGG
rnacentral:rRNA from 1 species